AACGUCAAACUACGUGAAUUGUCAAGCCAAGAAGAGGAUUGCAAGUCACUUUUUUGUUUCUUGGUUUAUUAUUCUCACUAUCAUUAUAAAUUAGACUUAAAAUAAUACAAAACGGUGUGUGUUUGAAUAACAUUUCUGUUAUAGUUGGUUUCUAUUUUCCUAAAAAAAUGUCGAUUAACGAUGAUCUUACUAGUCUUGAUGCCGGAGGCAAAAUAGUAAAAAUGGAGGUGGACUAUAGCACCACCUGUGAUGAAAAGAUCCCCUUGUGGAAAUCAUGGGCCUCCAAAGGCAAGGUUCAAGAAGCCAUCGACCAGCUGCUGGCGCUGGAGAAGCAGACACGAACGGGUGCUGACAUGGCUUCAACUGCCAGGAUUUUAGUUGCAAUAGUGCAAAUUUGUUUUGAGGCUAAGAACUGGACUGCACUGAAUGAUCAGAUUGUGCUUUUGUCUAAGAGAAGAUCUCAACUUAAACAGGCUGUUGUCAAAAUGGUCCAAGAAUGCUACACUUAUGUUGACAAAACGCCAGACAAGGAGACUAAGGUCAAACUCAUAGAGACCCUGCGAUCCAUCACCGAGGGCAAGAUCUAUGUGGAAGUGGAGAGAGCCAGGCUCACACACAUCUUGGCUAAGAUCCGGGAAGAUGAGGGCAAUGUGGCAGAGGCAGCCAAAAUUAUUCAGGAACUUCAGGUGGAAACGUAUGGCUCCAUGGACAAGCGCGAGAAAGUAGAACUUAUAUUGGAACAGAUGAGGCUGUGCCUUGCUAUCAAGGAUUAUGUUCGGACACAAAUUAUCUCAAAGAAAAUCAACACAAAGUUCUUUGAGGAAGAAAAUACUCAGGAGUUAAAAGAGAAGUUCUACCGCCUGAUGAUCGCCGUAGACCAGCACAAUGGAGCAUAUCUAUCCGUGUGUCGGCAUUUCCGGGCGCUGGGCGCUGCGGGCGGCGCGGACGCGCUCAUAGGCAGUGUGGUGUUCCUUGUGCUGGCGCCGUAUGACAACGAGCAAGCUGAUCUCACGCAUCGGGUGAAUGAGGACAAGGAUCUUGACAAGCUGCCUGAUUACAAGCAACUACUGGGUCUUUUCAUCAACCCUGAGAUCAUCAAGUGGAACAGUCUCUGCCAGCACUACGAGAAGGCGCUGCGAGCGACGCCCUACUUCGACUCGACCGACGAGAAGGGACAAGAACGGUGGAACGACCUUAAGAACAGGGUGGUUGAACAUAACAUUCGCAUCAUGUCGAUGUACUAUACGCGCAUUUCGAUGAAACGCAUGAGCGAGCUGCUAGGUCUCACCGAGACCGAAACGGAGGAAGCACUCAGCCAACUAGUCGUCAGCGCCGUCGUGAAGGCCAAGAUUGACCGUCCUGCCGGGGUCGUGCACUUCAGGUAACUAUCUUAGUCUAGUGGAAAGCUCGCCAUGAAACGUGAAAACGAGACAGCGUUACCAAGAGCGAGAUGGAAGAAGCUCUUAGCCAACUGGUCGUCAGUGCCGUCGUGAAGGCCAAGAUCGACCGUCCUGCCGGCGUCGUGCAUUUCUGCUUAAACAUGAACGCGUCGGACCGGCUCAACGAGUGGUCGAACAACCUCAACACGCUCAUGCAGCUCGUCAACAAGACCACGCAUCUCAUCAAUAAGGAGGAGUGCGUGCAUAAACAUUUGCUCGCCACGGCUGUUGAGUAAUACGAGUAUCUAAUGUGAAAUUAACAAUAAUUCUCUUAUAUCAGUUGGAUAAUCAUUAAAUUUUGAGGCAGUCACCCCCCUAACGUCGAGAAGCAAGUAGUUUUGUUGGCGUUUUUUUGCCAGCUAGAGUUUUCUUCUAGAAAGUAUGAUAUGUGCAUCUCUUUUAUUCAUUU